rnacentral:rRNA from 1 species
GACGAACGCUGGCGGCGUGCUUAACACAUGCAAGUCGAAUGGAAAGGCCCUGCUUUUGUGGGGUGCCCGAGUGGCGAACGGGUGAGUAACACGUGAGUAACCUGCCCUUGACUUUGGGAUAACUUCAGGAAACUGGGGCUAAUACCGGAUAGGAGCUCCUGCUGCAUGGUGGGGGUUGGAAAGUUUCGGCGGUUGGGGAUGGACUCGCGGCUUAUCAGCUUGUUGGUGGGGUAGUGGCUUACCAAGGCUUUGACGGGUAGCCGGCCUGAGAGGGUGGCCGGCCACAUUGGGACUGAGAUACGGCCCAGACUCCUACGGGAGGCAGCAGUGGGGAAUAUUGCACAAUGGGCGGAAGCCUGAUGCAGCAACGCCGCGUGCGGGAUGACGGCCUUCGGGUUGUAAACCGCUUUCGCCUGUGACGAAGCGUGAGUGACGGUAAUGGGUAAAGAAGCACCGGCUAACUACGUG